rnacentral:rRNA from 1 species
GAUGAACGCUGGCGGCGUGCCUAAUACAUGCAAGUCGAGCGAACAGACGAGGAGCUUGCUCCUCUGACGUUAGCGGCGGACGGGUGAGUAACACGUGGAGAACCAACCUAUAAGACAGGGAUAACUUCGGGAAACCGGAGCUAAUACCGGAUAAUAUAUUGAACCGCAUGGUUCAAUAGUGAAAGACGGUUUUGCUGUCAAUUAUAGAUGGAUCCGCGCCGCAUUAGCUAGUUGGUAAGGUAACGGCUUACCAAGGCAACGAUGCGUAGCCGACCUGGGAGGGUGACCGGCCACGCUGGGACUGAGACACGGUCCACACUCCUACGGGGGGCCGCAGUAGGCAAUUUUGCGCAAUGGGCGAAGGCCUGUUGCAGCAACGCCGCGUGGGUGAAGGAGGCAUUCGGAUGGUGAAACUCUGUUAUUAGGGAAGAACAAAUGUGUAAGUAACUAUGCACGUCUUGACGGUACCUGAUCAGUAAGCCACGGCUAACUCCGUG